GAGUUUGAUCAUGGCUCAGAACGUACGCUGGCGGCACGCCUAACACAUGCAAGUCGAACGAAGUAGCAAUACUUAGUGGCAGACGGGUGAGUAACAUGUAGGUAUCUGCCCUUUGGCCUGGAAUAACACGAGGAAACUUGUGCUAAUACCGGAUAAGUCUUUACGGAGAAAGCUUUAUGCACCAUUGGAUGAGCCUGCACUUGAUUAGUUUGUUGGUGGGGUAAUGGCCUACCAAGACUGUGAUCAAUAGCUGAUUUGAGAGGAUGAUCAGCCACAUUGGGACUGAGACACGGCCCAAACUCCUACGGGAGGCAGCAGUGGGGAAUCUUGCACAAUGGAGGAAACUCUGAUGCAGCGAUGCCGCGUGAGUGAAGAAGGCCCUUGGGUUGUAAAGCUCUUUCGUCGGGGAAGAAAAUGACUGUACCCGAAUAAGAAGGUCCGGCUAACUUCGUGCCAGCAGCCGCGGUAAUACGAAGGGACCUAGCGUAGUUCGGAAUUACUGGGCUUAAAGAGUUCGUAGGUGGUUGAAAAAGUUAGUGGUGAAAUCCCAGAGCUUAACUCUGGAACUGCCAUUAAAACUUUUCAGCUAGAGUAUGAUAGAGGAAAGCAGAAUUUCUAGUGUAGAGGUGAAAUUCGUAGAUAUUAGAAAGAAUACCAAUUGCGAAGGCAGCUUUCUGGAUCAUUACUGACACUGAGGAACGAAAGCAUGGGUAGCGAAGAGGAUUAGAUACCCUCGUAGUCCAUGCCGUAAACGAUGUGUGUUAGACGUUGGAAAUUUAUUUUCAGUGUCGCAGCGAAAGCGAUAAACACACCGCCUGGGGAGUACGACCGCAAGGUUAAAACUCAAAUGAAUUGACGGGGACCCGCACAAGUAGUGGAGCAUGUGGUUUAAUUCGAAGAUACGCGCAGAACCUUACCAACACUUGACAUGUUCGUCGCGACUCUAAGAGAUUAGAGUUUUCGGUUCGGCCGGACGAAACACAGGUGCUGCAUGGCUGUCGUCAGCUCGUGUCGUGAGAUGUUGGGUUAAGUCCCGCAACGAGCGCAACCCUCACUUUUAGUUGCCAUCAUUAAGUUGGGCACUCUGAAAGAACUGCCAGUGAUAAGCUGGAGGAAGGUGGGGAUGACGUCAAGUCCUCAUGGCCCUUACGUGUUGGGCUACACACGUGCUACAAUGGUAUCUACAACAGGAAGCAAAACUGCGAAGUUAAGCAAAUCCCUAAAAGAUACCUCAGUUCGGAUUGCACUCUGCAACUCGAGUGCAUGAAGCUGGAAUUACUAGUAAUCGUGGAUCAGCGUGCCACGGUGAAUGCGUUCCCGGGUCUUGUACACACCGCCCGUCACACCAUGGGAGUUGGUUCUACCUUAAGGCAAGGUUUCAAACCCUUGACCACGGUAUAGUCAGCGACUGGGGUGAAGUCGUAACAAGGUAACC
rnacentral:rRNA from 1 species